CUUGACAAGGGCUGGGAACAGUGAGUAAGAGUUGUCACCAGGUGGCACCAUUAACCUAAGUUAUGUUUCAGUGAGGUUAAUGCAAUGAAGUUUAUGUUCAAAAGGAAUUUAGUAGAAAGAUUGCUCUUUUCACCUUCCUUCAAAGUAAACACACAGUACAGAGAAUAGGCCAAAUAUUUCUGUUCACUGGCACGUUUUAGACUAUUUCAUACAUUUGCAGUGCUAUAAUGUGGUGAAGAUUCUUCCCUGCUUUGUGUAUGAGUUCAACUUCAGCUAUCAGCCUGCACCCUAGGACCAUUACUGACCACUGCAGACGCAUCACUUGCACCGUGGCACAUUUUGAUGUCCAGGAGAACUCAAUACUUUUGCUAUAAAGAAUGUGGACGUGAAGACCAGCUUGUAUAUUUGUGUCCCUGAAUGUCUUCCACUUGAGGAAAAACCUGUGGGCUUUUGGAAAAGGUCCUGAAACCUAAUUUAAAAGCAUCACCAGCAGGAAAAACCCAUCAUGAAGUGGGAGAAAAUCUUGAACAUUAUUAAUUUGAAUCGUGGAGCUGUAUAGAAACAGAUAUUGAUACAAUGCAGCUAACGUGUGACAGAGUACCAAAUGGACGUCCUUCGAGAAGUCGGUUCUAACUUCUCUAAGUCAUCACUUCUCUCUUAGUAGGCCAUGUUUUUUAGGGAAUCACUCAGCAUGUGUAUCAGCUUUCCCAGUCCUAAAUUCUUUUAAGCUGCGUAUUUCUUUUGGAGUGAAAAUUUGAGACAGUGUAGCCCAUGAAUUACUGUGAAGACAUCGAAGCCACAUUUCUCACUUUUAAGGGACUGGUGUGGUGGCAUACAGGAGCCUAAUGUUCCAUGCAAUUUGUGAUUUUCCACUUUAUUGAAGAAAUAAUUCUGUUUGUAGUUUUAUGAACUUGCAGUCUUGAAUACACAGUAGUGCAAGUCACAAUUUUAUCUAUAGGCUGUUCCAUCUUGAAUGAAGAAAUACUAUAUGUUGUUAAAACCCUGAUCUCCAAGAGUUUGUAAAAAAAAAAAAUAAUGAUGUUUGACUUAAAAUGUAAUUUUUAAAAAUUGAACAUUUAUUAUUAAAACUUCUUUCA